rnacentral:rRNA from 1 species
UACGUAGGGUGCGAGCGUUGUCCGGAAUUAUUGGGCGUAAAGAGCUUGUAGGCGGUUUGUCGCGUCUGCUGUGAAAUUUCGGGGCUCAACCCCCGAAACUUGCAGUGGGUACGGGCAGACUAGAGUGUGGUAGGGGAGACUGGAAUUCCUGGUGUAGCGGUGAAAUGCGCAGAUAUCAGGAGGAACACCGGUGGCGAAGGCGGGUCUCUGGGCCGAUAUGACGCUGAGGAGCGAAAAGCGUGGGGAGCGAACAGG